rnacentral:rRNA from 1 species
AUGAAGUUUAUGCAUGUUCUGUUAGAACGUGUCGCCGACGGCACCUUGCCGAAGGAUUGGCAUGGUUUCUCGGUUUAUGUGAGCUCGGAGGUUACCGGGGUGGAUCACAACAAACAGAAAAAGCGUAAAGUGUCGAUUAGACUGCGUCGUCCUGGACAUGAAGUCUCUUAUUUGGGCGUACGUGUCUUGUUAGAUGUUGUGGUCAAAGGGCCUUUGCCGAAGGAUUGGCAAGGUUUCUUGGUUGGGUUUGCUGAGUCUCUUAAAGAUAGGUCAUACUGUGGCCCUACGGAUUUCUUAUGCCGGUAUUGUGGUGCCUCCUUCUGGUUUGCUGAGUGUUCUAAGUCCAGGUCGUCCUGGACACAACGUAAGAUGGUUCACAAUCGCUGUUGUAAAGGCGCUAAGGUCUAUAUUCCUCCCUUUAAGGAUCCCCCGGCGUAUGUCCGGGAGCUCCUUCGAUUCGAUGGUACUUCUCAUGCUAAAAAAUUCAUCCGGGCUAUACGUGAGUACAAUUGUAUGUUCGCUUUUACUUCGAUGGGUGCUACUGUUGAACGCUCUUUUGGUGGCAGUCGUGGGCCUAAGAUCUUCAAGAUCAGUGGUCAAGUGUCUCAUCAUAUUGGUUCGCUGGUGCCCAGCGGUGAUGAUGCUCCUAAGUUUGCUGAGUUAUACAUACAUGACCCCGCUAAUGAGAUUAGACAUAGGAUGAAUGCUUUAAAUCCGGACGAUAAGCCUACUGGGGGGGAGGGGGUCGACGAGAGUAUUGUGGUUGGCCUUAGAGAUAUGCUUAAUGAGUCUAACCCAUUGGUAUAUACCUUUAGGGAGGCGAGUAAGAUGAUAGAGGAUCUUGGUGAUGAACCUAUCGAGGAUAUCUCGAUUCGUAUUAUAGGGCCUUCGGAAGGUGAUAGUCAACAAUUUAGCUUGCCUACAACUACUGGGCUUGCUGCUUUGGUUGUCGGUCGUGGGUUCGCGUUAGAGGCGUCUUCUCGAGAUAUUGUUGUCCGCAGUCAUUCUGAUGGUUUGCAGCAGAUACCUUCUCUGAACACUGCGUUCAUUCCUCUGCAAUAUCCGUUGCUUUUUCCUUAUGGUGAAAGGGGGUUCCAGAUUGAUGUUCCUCACCUGAUUGUUCCUGAAGAAGGUGAGGAUGAUGGGACCGUAGAUCCUGAUCCUGCACCUGGAAGUCCGUCUGUUGAGGCGUCUUCUUCAUAUCCUUCUGGGGGUGGUGACUCGGACACGAAUAGUCGGAAUAGGAUGACCAUGCAAGAUUACUAUCUUUUUAUGUGCCAUUACAAAGGUGAUGGGUGUGUGGAUGGCGACGCUGUUGGAAAGAGGACCAUUGUGCCCUCUAGUCACAUGGGUGGUCGUCGUUAUUUUAAUGAGAAUUUCCAUGAUGGCCUUGCCGUUUGUCGGGUGCAUGGUGCACCAGAUGUAUUUACCACUUUCACUUGUAAUCCCAAGUGGCCUGAGAUCACCGCUGCAUUGGAGCCAGGGCAGGCGUCUUCUGAUAGGACAGACGUUGUUGUUAGGGUCUAUCACAUGAAGCUUGCCGAGUAUUUGGACGAGAUCAAGUCAGGCCGGGCUUUUGGCCCCAUUAAAGUUGGUAUUAUGUGCUGCUGUGCUUUGUGUGUGGUCGGUGUUUCUUACCGGCCUUCUACUUAUUUUGCUUGCUGGUCUGGCUGA